AACAUUAUGCCGGGAAUGAUUUAUGUUCUAAAUGAUUUACCGCCGAAGGAGGGGACGGCGGCCUUUUUUUUGGUGGGGGAGGGAAUGCCCCACAAAAACAAUGACGGGUUCGGCCUCUGAGAGGACUAGCCAGAAGAUGGUUACUAAUAAACCCACCCCGGCCCUAGGGGCCGAAGCAGGAAAAAAAAUUUUGCAUUGUGCAAAAGCACAAGAAGGUUAAUCCGAUUGGUUUCUGCUAAAGGAACCUUUUGUCGGCCCAAGAACUACUGAUAAAGAGGGGGUGGGCUAGUUUAGGAGACACCCGCCGUGUAAAACCCACCACCUCAGGUGGUAAGGAUAAUUAUUGGGCCUAAAGCAUCCGCAGCCGGUUUUGUUAUUUUUCGAUUAAAUCUGUACGCUCAACGUACAGGCUGCCAGAAAUACUGAAAAGCUAGGGGGUGGAAGAGGAAAACGGUCCUCGGAAGGAAGGAAAAAAAUCUUUUGAUCUAUUGACAACCACCGGGGGCGAAGGCGGCCAACAAAAACACGUCCGACGGUGAUGAAUAAAAGCUGGAGAACCAAACAGAAUUAGAUACCCGGUUAGUCCCAGCUGUAAACUAUGCAAACUCAGUGAUGCAUUGGUUGGUGGCCAAUGCAUUGCUGCAAGGAAGCCAUUAAGUUUGCCGCCUGGUAAGUACGUACGCAAGAAUGAAACUCAAAGGAAUUGACGG
rnacentral:rRNA from 1 species